UCUGGGUGGAAAGACAGGAGAAGGUUAGAUUUUUUGGAGGGUGUGUGUGAAUUGGUGGCCAGUGAAAAAUCUAUGAUUUCUGAAAUCAUCUUUAAUUAGGAGCAAUUUUUGUGGCCAUUUAUCAAGAAUUUAGGGGUAUAUAGUGCUGUGGAUUAUAGUAUUUUUGGUGUAAACCCCUUAUUCUGACUUCUUAUGAAGGAUCACUGACACCACGCCGUGUGAAAAUCGUAUCCCCAGGAAAACGAAUUGAGAUACCAUAAGGUCCGUAUUCGUCUGUCCGCAUACGCAGAUAGCCUACAAGCGGCAAGUUUUAUAAAGAACCCCUUAGUUAAGGGGUUUUUUUUUGGGGACCACACACUCUUGGAAUAUUUCCUGAAAGCUUGAUUCCUUUUGUUUUUGAAGCUGGUCUUCUACGUAACAGCAUUUGGAACACUGUUGACGUUCCUGUACGUAUUCAAAUAUCUCCUGUGACAGUCUCAGCCAAGCAUUACGCAAUCGGUGCUACCACGUCUACCAUCAUUCGUCAUCCCAUAGGAGUUUUGGUACAGUUCCAUGGAAGAUCCUCUACCAGACAUAUUUCUUGGAUAAUAAAGGAUAUCACGCAAGUUUUUGAAACAAACAUUUCGCUUUUAUUUUUUUUGCUCUAUGCUUAAAUUUUGAUCGUAACAUUAAAUUAUUAGUAUUGGUAAUUUGCUAUUGCUUAGUAACAUUUAUUAUUUGCUUAGCUUUACUGGCUUAGAUCCGAUUGUUUGCAUGUUUGCGCUUUUGUUAAUAUUCUUUAUUUAUUGGCCAUAUUGGCACAUUUACAUUGUUGUUUUUUUUUUUAUAUAUUUUCUCUUAUUUUUCCGCUUUAUUGACUAGAUUAAUUGACAGCAUUUUGUAAUACGCUUGCGGAAAUUAGGGGUACUUAUCUGCUUAUUUACGGUAUACACCUGCUUGUGUGUAUUUAUGCGCAUGCGCCUGAGCUCAAGCGACGCCAUUUCGAAGCCUAUUGCCUGUCUUUUGCAUUUUGCUUAAAUAGAUUUUAUCUCCCUAAUCUCUAAUCGUUUGCGUAGCUAGUCUCAAUAUUUGCUUUUGCUAUUAAUCAAAAUACUAUUUCAAUUUUCAGACAGUAUUCAGUAAAUAUACAAUUAACUCAAUAAGUGUAAAUACGUAAAAUAAAAUAUAUUCAUCUUGUGUUGUACUAUUAUCGUAUUUUAUUUAUCGUCGACCUCUUUUUGACUAUUUUCGGAAGUCGACAGUCAACUAUUAGGGUAUUUGUACGGCUAUAGAAAAUUUGUCUGGCGCCCUGUUAACA